rnacentral:rRNA from 1 species
GAUGAACGCUAGCGGCAGGCCUAAUACAUGCAAGUCGAACGGUGUCUUCGGACAUAGUGGCGCACGGGUGCGUAACACGUAUGCAACCUACCUUACAUUGGGGGAUAGCCUUUCGAAAGGGAGAUUAAUACCGCAUAAGACAGUAGCUGGGCAUGCAGCAGCUGUUAAAGAUUUAUCGAUGUAAGCUGGGCAUGCGUCCAAUUAGCUAGUUGGUGAGGUAACGGCUCACCAAGGCAAUGAUUGGUAGGGGAACUGAGAGGUCAAUCCCCCACACUGGCACUGCGAUACGGGCCAUACUCCUGCGGGAGGCAGCAGUAGGGAAUAUUGGGCAAUGGACGCAAGUCUGACCCAGCCAUGCCGCGUGCAGGAUGAAGGCGUUAUGCGUUGUAAACUUCUUUUAUACAGGAAGAAACGACUCUUGCGAGAGGCAUUGACGGUACUGUAUGAAUAAGCACCGGCUAACUCCGUGCCAGCAGCCGCCGUAAGAC